GGAGAGUUGCCAGAACGGUAAUGGAGCAGUCUUGAAAACUGUGGCUUGGGAACAGGCAUGGGGGUUCGAAUCCCUCACUCUCCG
rnacentral:tRNA from 1 species